rnacentral:rRNA from 1 species
UAAUACAGAGGGUGCAAGCGUUAAUCGGAAUUACUGGGCGUAAAGGGUGCGUAGGUGGUUUAUUAAGUCGUAUGUGAAAACCCUGGGCUUAACCUAGGAAUUGCAUAUGAAACUGAUAGGCUAGAGUGCAGUAGAGGGAAGUGGAAUUUCCAGUGUAGCGGUGAAAUGCGUAGAUAUUGGAAGGAACACCAGUGGCGAAGGCGACUUCCUGGACUGUUACUGACACUGAGGCACGAAAGCGUGGGGAGCGAACAGGAUUAGAUACCCUGGUAGUCCACGCCGUAAACGAUGAGAACUAGAUGUUGGGUGGCUUGACCACUCAGUAUCGUAGCAAACGCGAUAAGUUCUCCGCCUGGGGAGUACGGCCGCAAGGUUA